rnacentral:lncRNA from 1 species
AGGAAUAGAGAUCUCAACCUUACUUAGAAACAUAAUGAUGUUUCUCAUUUUUUCAUACUUGAGAGCUAUAAAAUUUGUUAAAAUAGUGAGAAACAUAAUUAGACAAAAAUCUUAAUAUAGUUGUGCAUGUCAUCAUGAGUUGUCUGCUUAUAUUGUGUUCUUGUUAUUGUAUAUUAACUAUAUAUAUGGCAUCCUCACUGUCACUGCAAGGCAUAUUAGAUGCUAACAAAUUGACCGGACCAUACUAUGUGGACUAGUUGAGAAAUUUGAGAAUAGUUCUCACACAAGAGAAAGUCUUCUAUAUACUCGAUUCACCUACAACUGAUACAAUCGGAGA